GCUUCGGGAUCGUCUUUCUAAGUUAAUGUUUACGAGCAUCGCUUAGCAACAGCGUUAGCUCGACGGAAGCGUCGCCAUGACAACAACAAUAAUGCACAACGUAGCACGUUCUAAGAAAAGGUGAGCACAGAGGCAGAGCUUCUAGUCUCCAGGAGACAGCUGAGCAAGAAAGUGCUGUCCCGUGGGGUGCAAUUAAAGUGAACGAAGACGACACCCCUGUCAUCUGAUCACCUGGUAAAAUGGCUUUACAGCCAUUCGCUGAUUGAUCCAUCUACGGGUACAGCCAUCCUGCUGAGCAAGGGUUGUGCUGCCAUUGGAGGAACAUUUCAGAUCUCCACACUAUCCCAUCUUGGACGCAUCGCCUGUGGUAACUCUCGUUCCAGUGCUGGCUCCUUUGUUAUACCUCUGUGAUCUGCUCCUGCUAGGAAAACCAUCAUCCUGUCGCUUCGCCUGCUUGUCCUCCUGCCUCCUCCGACGCUCUUGGUAAGCCAUUCCUCCCCUCUCGCACUGCAGAUUUCUUCUCUCUGGAUUCUCCCACAGAAACCCUCUCCAAAGCUCUUCAGUCUGGACCUGCACCACACCUGCGGUUCCAAUUGUGACCUCAACGGACAGCCUUCCCCAUGGCCAUCCCCCUUUCCACUGGCUCCCGUUCACUCUUGUUUGCCUUUGUUUUGAUCUCCUUCAUUCUGUAAAUAAAGUCUUGUCAAUAGUGAA